UUUGGUUGAGACUCAUGCCGGUGGAUGGUAAUCGCAAGGGUGUGCGAGCGAUGAUCUUUGAGAAAUCGAGUUUUAUCGCAAUGUAACAGCAUCGGAACCGUCCACGAGUCGCAACAGCCGUGCAAGGAUACGAGAAGAAAAGAAAACGAGUGGAAUGCAUCAGGAUGCAGCAGGGUUAGAUAAUGUUAAGGUUAGAGGUUAGAAUGCGGGCAGGAUGGGCGCGAGUCAAGCUCACUACGGUUCUGGGCGCGACUAUCGGCUGCGGCGGUAGUCGCGCGGGCGAGAGAGGCUAGCGGGCUUCCGCGCGGCAGGUUGAGAGGAGAGCGCGUUCGUCGCGGAGUAGCGAGCAAACAGGCGGCGCGCGAGUGAACAGUGAGCGGCGAUCAGCGCGAGAGAGCGAGAUAGCUAGCGAGCGUGCACACGAGUGAACGCGUGCGAUUUCCCUUCGAAAGAAAUGUCGGCGCUCGCCGCAGCGGCGUGUUAAACGGCAAAACAUGUCCAAAGCGCUGCUCGGUCGCGCGCAGACACCCGGCGGCGGUGUUCAAACGGGCGCAACGGUGACCUGCGUGGUGUGCGAGCGAACUGACAAGCUGUUGAGAUGCUCGCGUUGCAAAGCGGUGUUCUAUUGCACAAAAGAGCAUCAGAGAAGCGAUUGGAAACGUCACCGGGACUUCUGCGCGACCCAUCCGGCGGUGCGAGCCGCGUCCGCGAGCGAACCCCUCACCGCCGCGGACAGGAAUUUCAAUCGCGAGCUCCCGCCGUCCAGACAUCUCGCCGUCGACAAGGUGCCGAGCGCGCCAGUUCCUAACCUAGCCAGGAUCCCCAUCUCGGACACGUCAUGGGUCACGAACGUCAUCUCGGAGCCGUAUCGGAACGCGAAGCAAUUCACAGCCAUUACGCAAGGAGGAAACGGAUCGAGUCAGCACGAACGGAAGGAGAAUCAGAAUCUUAAGAAGAAGCCGAACAGCGGAAAGUCGCGGAACGUGCGCAACAGCAAAGCCGAUUGCUGGACGUUGCCCAUAACGUACGAGGGAAGUUCCGAGGACACCAUACUGGGCGCCAGGGCAGAACUCUUGAAUCCCGCCUUGGAGAGCUCAAGGAUCUUUGAGAGCUUGACUAACGCAGACCUUGGAAUGCCUAUCCGGCAUCACAACGGCACCAAGAGCUUCCCAGAGGUGCAGUUGGGUCAGCAGGAACAGGAAGAGGAACUCUUGCCCCCUUUUUUACAUAGGAAUAGGGACGAUAUUGAGGAGCUGUUGGAUGAAAUUUGCCGGAAUAUGAUAAGAGACAUGAACAACUACGGUGUGUGCGUGGUGGACAAUUUUUUAGGCAAGGAGAGGGGUGAGGCAGUGCUGAGGGAGGUUUUAAAUAUGUACAGUGCAGGUUUAUUUAAAGACGGACAGCUGGUGUCUAAUAAGGCUGGUGCAAAUGACUUGAAAACAAUACGUGGUGAUCAGAUCACAUGGUUGGAUGGCAAGGAGCAGCAAUGCCAGAACAUUGGUAUACUCAUAUCGCGGGUUGAUGCAAUCAUUAUGAGAGCCAACAAGAUGCGUAACAAUGGGAAGAUAGGAAACUAUACAAUCAACGGAAGAACAAAAGCUAUGGUAGCUUGUUAUCCUGGUCAUGGCUCGCAUUAUGUAAAACAUGUGGAUAAUCCCAACCGAGACGGACGUUGCAUCACGGCCAUUUACUAUCUUAAUCAGAAUUGGGACAUUAAGAAGAAUGGCGGACUUCUGAGAAUAUUUCCUGAAGGAUGGCGUGAUCAAGUAGCGAAUAUUGAACCCCUGUUCGACAGGAUAUUAUUUUUCUGGUCUGACAGGCGAAAUCCGCACGAAGUGCAACCAGCAUACGAAACUAGGUACGCUAUCACGCUCUGGUAUUUCGACGCUGAAGAAAGAAAUCAGGCUUGCAGAAGAUAUCAAAGGGAACGUACGUAAGCGAUCGCAUCGACACGUACGCGCGCGCGCGCGCGCGCAUUUUGCUUGUGACUAUGAAAAGGAGAAUUGAACAAGACGAAUCACAUUUCGUGAAACGCGGAAGACGUACUACGCCCUUUGGACUGAUAUCCCUCACUCUGUACAUAAAAUAUGUAUUAUUAUGUAUUAUGAUACAGCUGAUAAUUUUUGCGGGAGGAAUUGAAUAGCUUACGAAACAAAACAAAAUUAUUUUAUCGGCGAUGAGUGUUUAAAAAAAAAAGUGCAAUAGACGUAAGUGAUCUUUCUUUUCUUCCGUUUUUCUUUUUUUUUUUUUUACAGAUGAAACUGUAAUAUAUGUGAUGAGUUAAUGUGUGUAGUUGUUGCAAUUUAUACUUAUAUGUAUAAUCGUUUAUUUGAACUUCUAAGAUCCGCUGCGUGCGUUCGCACUCUAACCCAGUAUUUAAAAUAUCGGUUUUGCAUCCUGCGUUUCAAAGAAAGCUUAUACUUGUGUCGAUCAUUGACUUCUCCAUUACGUAAAGUAUUAAUCACCUUUGCAUCGUGUAACAUAUAAAAUAUUUUAAACGAAACCGUAGGAUAUAUAAUGUGCAAAAGAAAUCUUUUCCAAAACUCGCAGACGUUAUACCUUGUGAUUGUAUUACAAAUAAAUUUAUCUCUCCGUAAUGUUUGUACGCCAUUUCUUAGAGAUAAUAAGGCAACUACUUGCUAAAGUUAUAUCGCUCACGUAAAGUGUAAUAUUGACAUUGUUACAUAUUACGAUUAAACACAGAUCUAAAACUUUUUACGCUCCUCCAACGAUAUCACGUUCAGUUUACUAUGGCCAGUGACUGAUUUUUGUUCCCAGCGCAACAAAUUGAAAUUAAACGAAACUCAAUCUGUAUCUGUAUAAUAUUAUGUAUAUUGUCACGUUGUAAAAAUAUACACACCCAAAUAUUACAUACA